ACUUUCAUAGGAUAUAAAGCAAUCCAUUGGUCUUAGGAACCAAAAAACUGGUGCAACUCCAGAUGAAAGUA
rnacentral:tRNA from 1 species